UGCCCAGCAACUCCUAUCCCUACCUCCACGCGGUACCGGCCGGAAACUAUGAGCAACCUUAGGGAAGAUCGGGUAACCAACCCCGGUGGGACCUUUGGUCGUAGGCUGACAGGAAAUG
rnacentral:ribozyme from 1 species